CCCAUCGCCGACCCUGGGAGGGCAGAGGCGUGGGCCCGGCCCCUGCGUGUGGCCCUCCGCCCGCAGCAGCCCCUUCCCCCGGGCGCAGCUCUGAGAGCUGCAGAGCUGAAGUUUGGCGAGGCGGGACGCUCUGCGGACGUUUCAUCAGAUGAAACAGUAAGAUGGCCAAAAGGUACUCCUUCCCACAGCCUCCCAGGACUGCUACCAGAUACAUGUGACGACUGACAAGAGAUAAGUUAAAAUAAAUAACUGGAAGUAAAUGAAAACAUGGAAACAGUCAAGGAGUCAUAGGACCAAAGAGCAUGAUACUCCAGGCUAGUAAUUUCACUAUUCAAUGCCCUGAGUUUUGUUGCCGUUUCCUAUAUAGGCAGCCUCAGCAAGCCUAGAGGAUGCAGAGUCGACCUGAGUUAAGAUAUGUGCUGUGAGUGAAAAAGCUUGAUUCAGUUUUUCUCCUGAAGAGAAGGUGGCUGCUUCAGCUCUGCUGCACCUCAGGAUGUGUUGUACCUAGGCAAGUCUCACAUCAUUUCAUGUCCUGCUAUCAAAAGUUUCAUUGCCUUUAUGCUACUUAAAAAAGCUAUGUUAAAAUGCACACACAUAUGUAGGAUGAUUAAAUAACCUUUUGUUCCCUAACUCUAAAACAUAUCAUUUUUUUUCCCUUUGCUACUAUGUGGAUCAAGCAGCUCUAGAGUCUAUGAAGUGAGCAUAAUUUAUUCCUGACUUGUGCUGGAAUAAUUUAUGUUCUUGAGCCUUUGCAGAUGUAUAGUCACUAGAGAGCUGCCUGCUUACGGGAGUUUUUACACAUAUUUUGUCUAAAUCAGAGCUCCAAAUGCAAUGUCGGAGAUGCAGGGAGUUUGUGUGGAUUUGUAGCACUCCCUGGAGGACUCUGUGUCUAUAAACCAAUAAACAUUUCACAAUCCUCAGCAAGUGAAGAUUUUCAUAAUUUCUGAUGUAUGCAGUAUUGACCAUGCUUCUCAUUUUAAUUUCAGUAAUAUUCCAUAGGUAAUAAGUAAUUGGAAAAUAAAUUCUUGCAGGUGAACGCUAAAAGCAAAAAUUAGUCUUUCUAUACUUAGCUGCUGCCAUUUUCUUAUUAUAAACUAAAGAGGCGAAACAAAAUAAUCAUUUAUAAACAAAGCACCUCUCACAUUGGUUGAAAACUACAGUGAGAUGCAGAUAUUUUGUGGCCAAAACAUUCAAAAAGAAGGCAGGAAGAAACAGCCAUCUCAUUUCUAUAUAGAUUGAUUAUUUUUUCUUUGCAUGUGUAGUUUGACCAUCACAGGUUCAGAUGAAAAUAGUUAAUUCUUCAGAAAACUGACUGUGCCAACCUGUAGGCAGAUGUGAAGGUUAAAAUUCCUAAUUGUUGCUCUGAAAUCAGUUGAUACAAAGGAUGAUUAAAUACAGGGUCAAGACUUCAAAUUUAUUCCUUAGUCAGUAAGAUGUUAAUUUGGUAAGAAAGUGACUACAAAAUGUUUUCUGAAAGAGUCAGAACCCAUUGCUGCAUGUGCAGAACUGCAAACAUACCGACAGCAUGUACGGCUGGUGUUUACAGAGGUCUAUGAAUAAUAAAUAAUCUAGUUAAAUAACCAUUGUUAGAGCUAUGCAAACAAGAGAGCAAAUAAAUCAAGACCUCCUGCUCAUGCAUAGAUACCAACCACAGUACUUUUUCAUUUUUUUUCUUUGUUUUCUUUGUUUGCUUAAAUAGGAGAGACAAAUAGCGGAUGCAGGUGUAAUCAGCUAAAAAUUGUGAAGCUAGUAAGAAGUGUUUUGGAAAAGAUCACCAAGUGGAUCAAUCCCCCUAUCAGAAACAGUCAGCAGGGGAAAACAGUUUGCAUCAGUAUAUGUACCCUGCCAUUCAGACUGUAUCAAUUUGUUUCUGCAACUGGCAUAAUGUGGCAUAGUUCAGAGAGAAUCUCACAUAUGACUGCUGACAUACAGACAUACAGUGCUGGAAGUAAAGGAGAUUCAUGAGCAAAAGUGAAAAGGCUGCUUUUUUUUUUUUCUGCUUUUUUUUUUUUUUUCCUUCAUAUGGGAAUUCAACUGUUUUAUUUUGUAUAGUGUUAUAUGUAAAAUCCAUUUUUUUAAACUGAUAUUACUACAUUCAGUGCUUAUAGUAUUCUGUUUAUUGUUUCUCUGUGUGAUUGUCUAUCUGUGCAGAAUUUCAUAUGAAAAAAUGAAAUACAUGGAUUACAUAUCAAGUACCUGCUUCCUUGUGUUAUCCUAUCCAGAAAUAAUAAUGUUUUUUAUGUUGAAAGAUGGUUGGGAAAAGGUUAAUUCUGUAUCUGGAUAAGUAAGAUACAUUUAUUUCCUAAUUCUGUAUUUCAUUUCUGGGAAUUUCUAUGAUAUAACCCCCUCUACUUGCCUAUCCAGUUGCUGUUUAAAUAUAAUAAAAUGCAACACUUAUUCAUCUUGAGACUCUUGACAUCUACAUAAAUAUCGCUAUGUGUGCAGAAUGAGUUAGACACAACCAGUUUAGCACAGAAGCAGCACUGCUGUGUUCUCUGCUCUGUAUUGCAUGUAGUGCUUCAGUGCUUUGCAUCACAGCACAGAAAAGAAGCUUUAGGAGAUCCUUAGGCACAACCUGGGCACAGGAAGGCAAAAGUUUAAUGUGAGACAGGGCUUUUCCUUUUCGUUCUCUAAAUUUAAACACGAGGCAACACCCAAAGCACAGGAUUUAUUAAUGUAUUUGUCACACCU
ensembl:lncRNA